rnacentral:rRNA from 1 species
GCUUGCACUCAAUUGGAAAGAGGAGUGGCGGACGGGUGAGUAACACGUGGGUAACCUACCCAUCAGAGGGGGAUAACACUUGGAAACAGGUGCUAAUACCGCAUAACAGUUUAUGCCGCAUGGCAUAAGAGUGAAAGGCGCUUUCGGGUGUCGCUGAUGGAUGGACCCGCGGUGCAUUAGCUAGUUGGUGAGGUAACGGCUCACCAAGGCCACGAUGCAUAGCCGACCUGAGAGGGUGAUCGGCCACACUGGGACUGAGACACGGCCCAGACUCCUACGGGAGGCAGCAGUAGGGAAUCUUCGGCAAUGGACGAAAGUCUGACCGAGCAACGCCGCGUGAGUGAAGAAGGUUUUCGGAUCGUAAAACUCUGUUGUUAGAGAAGAACAAGGACGUUAGUAACUGAACGUCCCCUGACGGUAUCUAACCAGAAAGCCACGGCUAACUACGUGCCAGCAGCCGCGGUAAUACGUAGGUGGCAAGCGUUGUCCGGAUUUAUUGGGCGUAAAGCGAGCGCAGGCGGUUUCUUAAGUCUGAUGUGAAAGCCCCCGGCUCAACCGGGGAGGGUCAUUGGAAACUGGGAGACUUGAGUGCAGAAGAGGAGAGUGGAAUUCCAUGUGUAGCGGUGAAAUGCGUAGAUAUAUGGAGGAACACCAGUGGCGAAGGCGG